UGCUUCGAGGCGGAAAACAAGCUGGAGUCGGAGCGAAAGAUCCAGAUCGCCAAAAGGCCCCUGUUUACAGCCGAGGCUGGUCACCGUUUGGUUUCAAAAAAGACGAGUUCGCUGGAAGACUAAGCAAUUCGAGAUGAAUUACGAUGUCCUCAAAUCUUCUUACGACUCUCUCCUCUGAAUACGAUUCCAUUGCCAAGGAGAAUGAAAAGCUCAAAUCCGAGGGAUUGGAUCUGCUAUAUAUGAGUGAUCGAUGGUGGGCAUUGAUUGCAUUGUGCAAAGAAUGCUUGGCAACGACUACGGAACAUGACUCUACAAGUGGCAAUGGAGGCAAUAACAAGGGACCUUGGGAAGGUGGUUAGGAACAUCUCUGUUUUUUCAGCUUAUUUUAUUUAGUAAUCCUUGUAAAUUAGUAAUAGGUAAGCUCCUGGUCUUUAACUUACAAUAAUGAUUAUGAAUUCGUCUUUACAAGAGAUAAUUAUCAUUCAAACACCCAAAAAGCAAGAACAAGGUUGUUCCAAGGGACAACCAAUGUUGUGAGAUAAUUUAUGUGGGCAUUUGGUUUAAGUAUUUAGAAUAUUAAAUGACGUCUACUAUAAUGUCUCCAUAAAUUGG